UGGGAGAGAGAAAAAUGAAAAAGAAAAAGGAGAAACAGAAUUGAGAAGGCGUACAAGCAUAACCUGGAUAUCAAAUAUUUCACCUAUUCAAUCUCUCACUCGCUCCUGCCGGCUAUUCAAGAGUGAUCUAAAAGUAUUCCAUGGACCAUUACUAUUGUGUGUUCAUUCCUCACCCAAUACAACGGAGCACUAACAUACAUACUGACAGUAUGACUGCAUAAUGUAAAAGAAGACAAAAAAACAAAAAUAAACAUAAGGAGCAGAACCGAGCCGGUCGUAAAAAAGACUUUUGAUAAACUUUUAAUUUUUAGUGCAAAACCUGCUUUUUCGAAGGCAACCUCGAAUUCUCAAAGUUUUUUAGUAUGUGUAUUUGCUGGGACACGUAAGCUUCUAGGCAUGAUGGAAUUCUUCUUUCACCAACCUUCACUGCUCUAUAAUUCCUUGGACUUUUGCAAUUAUAAACUCAUUUUGAAAAGCCUUAUAGUGUUUGGGGGAUGUUGCAAUCAGCCAGUCAGAAGGGACUGGACUCACAACCACAUUAUAUGCUCCACCAUACGGAUAAGGAAGAGUAUUUUUGGGCAUUAAAAGAGAAGAUGGAAAGACGAUUCCAGCUCCGAUUAACACCAAUGACACUAGCGCUCAUCGGCACUAACCUUUGAUUUGUUGAUAUAUAAAGAGAAAAUCGCAAUUCUAUAUUGCAACCAUUUUUGGUGUGAGUCUGUGAACGGCUUCCUCAUAAUUACUAACGGGUCCAGCUGUGCCAGAUUCAUAUUUAUUCCAAGCCCCAUCAAUCUCAUCCAGUAUCUUUCAAAACCCCGUUUUUAAUGUUUAUCGCCAAAAAUAUUUAUUUGGAAAUAUCCUUUUAAUCCAGGAGAAGUUCAAUGACUUCCACACUGUUUUACUACAAGGGGGGCCAAUGCCCCAAUCCGGUACUGAAGCUUCUAUUCUGGUUUUGUCAAAUAUAUGGGUUGGAGUUACCCGAUGCAAGACCAUUUCUUAUCUUGAUUAUUUCUUGAUUUAUUUGACUGGAAAAGGGUGUAUAUCUUAAUAAAUGGAAGAUUCUAGGAAGUUGAUAUAUAUCCUGUGCUUUUAGCCUUUUGUAUCGAGUUAAAGGGAUCCUCAUAUAAAUUAUAACACUCCUUUCUAGUGAUUAAAUAAUUUUUACCUCAUUUAUUUUCGUAGCUUCCAAAGAAUCUGCUAAGACCCCAGCGCCAAGUAGGGUAGCUGAUCGAGUGAUGUCUAGUUCACCGAAAAAACUCUAAUUCACGAUCACAAUUCGAGAUAAUUUGUGUCUUUUUAAUAUUUAUUGAUAUACCCCAGAUAUCUUGGAAUUUUUUUUUGGUCUAGAACAAUGCUUUGAUGUACUGUACGAUUUCUUCUUCUGAUCCUGUAAGAAACAAGGUCCAUCGUCAAAAUCCCUUCACCCACGAAAUCUAGGACAAAUUCCUUAUUGAAAAUGUCCUUAAAUACCUUUUUCCAGCAUCAUUGCGAAUCAGAAGUCUUAAAAAACUCGAAAGGAAGUCCAAAAGACCCAGAAGAUUUAUAUAUACAUAUAUAUAUUUUUGUAAUUUUAAUAAAUAUUAGGAUCUCAGCUUGGUUUAUAGACAAGUUUAUAUUAUUAAAUAUAUCCUCAUUUACUGAA
rnacentral:lncRNA from 1 species